CCUACGGGAGGCAGCAGUAGGGAAUCUUCCGCAAUGGACGAAAGUCUGACGGAGCAACGCCGCGUGAACGAAGAAGGCCUUCGGGUCGUAAAGUUCUGUUGUUAGGGAAGAACAAGUACCAGAGUAACUGCUGGUACCUUGACGGUACCUAACCAGAAAGCCACGGCUAACUACGUGCCAGCAGCCGCGGUAAUACGUAGGUGGCAAGCGUUGUCCGGAAUUAUUGGGCGUAAAGCGCGCGCAGGUGGUUCCUUAAGUCUGAUGUGAAAGCCCACGGCUCAACCGUGGAGGGUCAUUGGAAACUGGGGGACUUGAGUGCAGAAGAGGAAAGUGGAAUUCCAAGUGUAGCGGUGAAAUGCGUAGAGAUUUGGAGGAACACCAGUGGCGAAGGCGACUUUCUGGUCUGUAACUGACACUGAGGCGCGAAAGCGUGGGGAGCAAACAGGAUUAGAUACCCUGGUAGUCCACGCCGUAAACGAUGAGUGCUAAGUGUUAGAGGGUUUCCGCCCUUUAGUGCUGCAGCUAACGCAUUAAGCACUCCGCCUGGGGAGUACGGCCGCAAGGCUGAAACUCAAAGGAAUUGACGG
rnacentral:rRNA from 1 species